UGUGUUUCGACACACUAUCAUUAACUGAAUCCAUAGGUUAAUGAGGCGAACCGGGGGAACUGAAACAUCUAAGUACCCCGAGGAAAAGAAAUCAACCGAGAUUCCCCCAGUAGCGGCGAGCGAACGGGGAGGAGCCCAGAGCCUGAAUCAGUGUGUGUGUUAGUGGAAGCGUCUGGAAAGGCGCGCGAUACAGGGUGACAGCCCCGUACACAAAAAUGCACAUACUGUGAGCUCGAUGAGUAGGGCGGGACACGUGGUAUCCUGUCUGAAUAUGGGGGGACCAUCCUCCAAGGCUAAAUACUCCUGACUGACCGAUAGUGAACCAGUACCGUGAGGGAAAGGCGAAAAGAACCCCGGCGAGGGGAGUGAAAAAGAACCUGAAACCGUGUACGUACAAGCAGUGGGAGCCUCUUAAUGGGGUGACUGCGUACCUUUUGUAUAAUGGGUCAGCGACUUAUAUUCUGUAGCAAGGUUAACCGAAUAGGGGAGCCGAAGGGAAACCGAGUCUUAACUGGGCGUUAAGUUGCAGGGUAUAGACCCGAAACCCGGUGAUCUAGCCAUGGGCAGGUUGAAGGUUGGGUAACACUAACUGGAGGACCGAACCGACUAAUGUUGAAAAAUUAGCGGAUGACUUGUGGCUGGGGGUGAAAGGCCAAUCAAACCGGGAGAUAGCUGGUUCUCCCCGAAAGCUAUUUAGGUAGCGCCUCGUGAAUUCAUCUCCGGGGGUAGAGCACUGUUUCGGCAAGGGGGUCAUCCCGA
rnacentral:rRNA from 1 species